GCGCCUUUAGCUCAAUUGGAUAGAGCGUCGGUCUACGGAACCGAAGGUUAGGGAUUCGAAUUCCUUAAGGCGCGCCA
rnacentral:tRNA from 1 species